rnacentral:lncRNA from 1 species
AGGUCUUUCCAUUCGUCAGCAUCUUUAUGACAUUGAAGUGUUUCAAACUGGAAACAACAUUACAUAUGAAACAAGCAGAGAGUGGCAUCUUUUGUUAAAAGGAAUGUUCUUGGAAACUCCUGCUAAGCACAUAAGAAGACUAAAGAUAUGCAAACGAUGACAAAUGCAGGAAUAGAAAGUGUGUUGACAAGCAAUCCUAGAAAUAGCCUGCGUAUGGUGGGGGAUUUGCAAACAAAAAGGAGAGGGAUGUCUAUGAUUGGUGGGGAAAUAGGGGUCCCCUGGAGGACCGUCUAUCACUUAGUAAUAGAUUAGAGUCCUGGGUUCCUUGUCAGGUGCUACUGCUCCAAACAGGCUACUAGGCUCCCUCCCACCAAUCCAUGCUCCUCUCCCAUUUCCCCCUAACACCUGCUUCAGUGGGGCCUUAAUGGGGUCACAGGCCAGCUUUCAGCGUCAGGCUUUUCCUUGCUAGCAGGCCUGUCUACCUCGAGGGUAGUCACACUAGUCAGUACCCUGUUUAGCAUGGUAGCCUGGCAAAUGUGCCUAACUUCCUAGGGCAACUCAAGAUCAGUGGCACUUUACAGGAAAAUUUACAAACAUUUGGCAUCAGCAAAAAAUAAAGACUUAUUUUAAAGCCACAGAGACUUGAAGGAUGUCUACAGAAUCUGACCUUGAUUAUCCAAAAUGACAUUAAUUUUUUGUUUGUUUGCUUUAGUUUCCAACUUGAAAGCCAUUACAGUUUAUUAAUGUUUUGCCUCAUGAACUUUUGGUCAGUAUUGUAU